UAGGGAAUCUUCCGCAAUGGACGCAAGUCUGACGGAGCAACGCCGCGUGAGUGAAGAAGGAUUUCGGUUCGUAAAACUCUGUUGUUAGAGAAGAACAGCGCAUAGAGUAACUGUUAUGCGUGUGACGGUAUCUAACCAGAAAGCCACGGCUAACUACGUGCCAGCAGCCGCGGUAAUACGUAGGUGGCAAGCGUUGUCCGGAUUUAUUGGGCGUAAAGCGAGCGCAGGCGGUCAAUUAAGUCUGAUGUGAAAGCCCCCGGGUCAACCGGGGAGGGUCAUUGGAAACUGGUUGACUUGAGUGCAGAAGAGGAGAGUGGAAUUCCAUGUGUAGCGGUGAAAUGCGUAGAUAUAUGGAGGAACACCAGUGGCGAAGGCGACUCUCUGGUCUGUAACUGACGCUGAGGUUCGAAAGCGUGGGUAGCAAACAGG
rnacentral:rRNA from 1 species